GAAGGCAUCACCGCUGCUACUGUAAUUUUUAAACCGGACUACCAAACUGGAUACUAUUUUCGAUUUCUUACCAGUGUAUAGAAUGCAAAGCAUAUCAUGUUUAGCCUUUUACCCAAACAUUUGCAGUCAAAUGCAUUGUUCCUGCAAAGAUGUGGUGCAUUCUGCCGACAGCACGUCCUACCCUUUAGAUUCGCACCCCUGAAUCGUGAACUGCAGCUGUGAAAGCGCCCUUCCAUUAAACGACGAAUAGAGGUGAACUGCAUGAAAAGCUUCUUAACAAUGGCCGACACAGAUCGGAUAACGCUCAUAGUCGUUGACAUCAUCUGAAGGGUUCUCCCUUUGAAAUCUCUGAGACUGAAAGUGACACCGCAACAAAGAGCUGCUGUGAGGUAAAUAUCUCACAUGUGCUGUGUGUGCUGCAGUGACUCAGCAAGAGAUGAUACAAAAACACAUAAAAUCGUAUGAAGAAAAAAACCCAGUAAGCAUCGCUGCCAUUGGUGUUUUCACGCCUCUCC